rnacentral:rRNA from 1 species
GUGGAAGACAGAGGUCAAUCCAUUGGCCAUACAAGACGAAGUGGUUCAUCAUCGUUAAGAAGUGAGCCAUUUCCAACUAUUUAUUCCGAACAGCACAAGAGCAUGCCUGGAGAUGGCGGACCCAUUAGCAUUCAGAAAGAAGGUCCAGCUUCGAGACAAUUAAAGGUUAAGCAAUGCCCAGUUCAGAAACUUCAGAGACUGCCAGAUGGGUGCCAUCCUGAUUUUGACAAUGACCAUUUAUAUUGUGUCAACAAGCUCCUGGAGUCCUGGUCUAAAUCUCAUGGCUCUGUUCUUGUUGAUGAUAAGGAACAUAUAUUAAAGACCAUCUUAUUCACAAUGGUUGUGUUAGCUGAUGCUCGCCAACCUUUUCUGAUUGUCACUACUACUGCUUCUCUCUCCUUAUGGGAGGUUCAGUUCAAUAAAUUAGCACCACAUAUCAAUGUUGUUGUGCAUGAUGGGCGGAAAGACAUGCUCAAGUCGAUUCAAGCUCAGCAGUUCUUCGAGAACGGAAACCACAUAACGUCACAAGUUCUCUUAUCCCAUCCUGAGGCUAUCUUAGAGGACAUUGAGCCUAUUGCACGUAUUGGUUGGGAGGCAAUCAUAGUUGAUUAUUAUCAACACUUUGCUCUAAAAUAUCUGGAACAGCUGAAGCAACUUUGUACUGGUUUUAGAGUGUUGCUUGUGAGCUCCCCAAUUGAAGAUAUCCCUGAGUACAGGAACAUGCUAGCUUUCCUUAGAUCGGGACAGAAAGAUAAUAGCGGCUAUGUUGACACUGCUGAUGCCCUUGAGAAGUCAAAAAUAAUAUUUGCACAUCAUAUUGCAUAUGAGCGCAAAGCAGAUUCUUCAAAAUUUCUAGAGCACUGGGUUCCUGCUUACAUUUCACAAGUGCAGCUAGGUGUCUAUUGUUCCAUUCUGCUUUCAAAUUCAUCUGUCCUCCAGUCUAAGAAGAAAGCUAAUAGUGUUGAAGCUCUUCGGGACAUUCUCUUGUCUCUCUCAAAGUGCUGUAAUCACCCUUACCUCCGUGAAUGUCUGGAAGAUUCACCUGUCAACAAUCCUGAUAUGACCGAAACAGUAGAUAUUGGAGUGCACGCAAGCGACAAGCUACUACUUCUUGACAAAAUGCUUAAAGAGACCAGCAACAGGAGGUUGAGAGUAAUUGUUCUUUUUCAGUCUGGUGGAGCAGGUGCAAAUCCAAUGGGUGACAUUCUGGAAGGUGUUGUGUGUCACAGAUUUGGCCCUGAGUCUUAUGAACAUGUCAAAUGUGGUGCGGUGAUGUCAAGUAAACAGGCGGCAAUUGAUAUGUUCAAUGACAAGACCAAGGGGAGAUUUGUUUUGCUGAUUGAAAGUCGUGCAUGCCUCCCAAGCAUUAAGCUACUAUCAGUUGAUGCAGUCAUCAUAUAUAGCAGCGACUGGAACCCAUCUAAUGACCUGAAAGCUCUUCAAAGAAUCAACAUAGAGUCACAACUUAAGUAUGUGAGCAUUUUCCGAUUGUAUACUCCUUUCACAGUGGAGGAGAACAACUUUGUGCUUGCAAAGCAGGGCAGGCUUAUUGAUAGCAACAUCCAGGAUGUAAUGCACAGUUCAAGCCAUUCCUUGCUCAGUUGGGGUGCACAAUUUCUCUUCACCAGAUUUGGUGAGCUUCUGCAAGAUAGGUAUUCAAGUAAGCAUUCUGAAAGGGGCACCAGUUUUAUGGAUGAAGUGAUUUUAGAGUUCGUAACAAAAUUACCCACAUAUACAGAAGACAGCUCCAAAAUAAACAGUGUGUACAUAUCGAAAGCUAAUAUGAGUGGGGAGUUUUAUUCAAGAAGCAUUACUGUAAUUGGUGAAAAGGAGGGAAUGUCUAUGCUGGAUGGGGAUCCAUCUGUAUUUUGGUUAAAUUUACUGGAUGGAAAAUCUCCUUGUUGGAGCUAUAUAUCUGAGCUAAGACAAUCAAUCAAUAGAAUGCUACAGAACAUAGAAGAACCAGCCCAAGUUGCUGCCGAAGAAACUGAUGAAGCUACCAAUGUGUCAGUCACACAGCAAAGAGAAUGUCAUGUGUCUGUCACACAGCAAAGAGAAUGCCAUGUGUCAGUUGAUGUAUUUCCCAACAUGGCUGUGGAGAGAAGAAUUGAUUUAGUGGAUGAUGUUUUCUCUUUUAGAGAAAAUAAUAUCCUUCAUAAACAACAAGCUGAGAUAUCAAAUUUAGUGACACACUCACAGAAUAAACAAAUCCUGAGAAUUGGAGCAACUCAGAUAUGUGGAUCGAGCAUGCAUAUGCAACAAUUGAGAAAUCUGCCUGCCCAACAAAGUUUAGCAACCUUGCCCCAUCCACCUGCAGAAGCAGAGCCAGCAGGUAUUCCUGGCAUGGAGGCCACGACAUGUUUACAGUCAAUGCAGUAUCAACCUACAGAGGCAGAAUGGGGAGGUAUACUGGGCGCAUUAGCAGCCCACGGUUCGCAGCCUGAAAUGCAACCAUCAACCUCAAUGCAGGAUGUUUUAUUUGAAAAGACUGAUCUGUCUGGCAUGCCUUUGCUAGGAAGUGCAGGAGAAGAACCAGCAGGCACUUUGGGCAUGGUGACAACUGAUAAGCUGCAGUCUGAAAUACAACAAUCAGCCACAGUACAUGAUCGGCCUGCAGAAGCAGAAGGAACAAGUACAUUGGGCACCAGGGCACUUCAGAAUUUGCACCCUGAAAUGCAAUCAUCAACCGCAAUGCAUCAUGUCCCUCUUGAAAUAGCACACUCUGAAGGCAGGAGCCAAACAGGAUUUCAGCCAAAUACAUCACCUGGUCCUGAGCAGCUCAGCCAACUCCUUUUUUUCGAGGAAGAGCUCAACCAAGUCCUAUCUGCUAGUGACCAGCCACAGGAAGAUAUGUCGAAAAUGUACAAACAUCACAUCAAUUUGCUUAGAAAAGCCCAUGAACAGAAGAAAUCACAACUUCAAAUAGAGCGUUACCGAGAAAUAGAAAAGGUGAACAGAAAGUAUUACUCAUUACUCCAAAAAGAAGAUCCCACUUUACCUCACAGCCAGAUGGGACUUGUUGAUAGCUACAAGGAAGCUUCUGUAAACAAAUCACCAGCUCAAGAUUUUCUAGGGGAAGUUGCACCAUCAUCUGCAGCUCAAGGGAGAUCUGAGAGGCCUGCAAUGGUGCUGCCACCUAAGUCUUCACCAGCUCAAACCACAGCAUCACCAGGUGCCCCGCCAUACGACCACCAGUGA